CGACUCUCGGCAACGGAUAUCUCGGCUCUCGCAUCGAUGAAGAACGUAGCGAACUGCGAUACUUGGUGUGAAUUGCAGAAUCCCGUGAACCAUCGAGUCUUUGAACGCAAGUUGCGCCCGAAAUCCAUUUGGACGAGGGCACGUUUGCCUGGGUGUCACAC
rnacentral:rRNA from 2 species